AUCUGAGACUGUUGAUAUUUCU
rnacentral:miRNA from 1 species